rnacentral:lncRNA from 1 species
CAUGUCAGACCCUGUUUAUUAUCAAGGUAUAUUCUAUUUUUUGAGUAAACCUAUUUUCUAUUUUUGAGUAAGCUUAUAUUACUUUAAAUUGUUGAACCCCUAUUUAAAGUGUACCUUUAAACUAUGUUUCUAUUAAGAUCACCUCUCUGGUAUAUGCUACUGGUGAAACAAAGAGAUGGGAACAAAAAGACCCCUAUUCUAUAGGCCUUGUUUAUGUCUUAAACCCAGACCACUUCCUUUAUUCGUAGAGUACAUAAAUCAUGAAUGACCAGUGGAUACAUUUACUGGUACCCCUUUGUCUUGAGGAUAGGGAAUAGUGGGGUUGUUUGCCUGGUUUGGAAGAAAGAUUGGCUUUCUCGUUGAGAGCAAGUUUAGACUUCAAGGCAGAUAGACGUGUGAUGUAACUUCCCCCAGAAGUUACUAUGUCGCAGCUUUUUAAGACCUGCCUUGAUUUUGUUUCUUAACAGAGUUCCACCAUGGUUCCACCAUGGUUCCACUUCCAUUUCCCUCGGGACAAGAGUUGGGACUGCUGUCGUUGUUCAGGCAACGCUCUCCGCCUGAUCGAUGUAUUUAGUGCUUACUGACGAACGACUUGUGUUUUAUCAUUUGUACUUCAUAUGAACAUCUAUUCUUUUCUUCUAUUCCCUAAUAUGUUUCUACUGUACAGUGUAGUUUACUUUGCUCUUUUGCUAUCAUUCUUGUAAUAAACAUUGUAAAGCUUUGCAUGUAGCUGUUUUUGUAAUAUUGUUGUUUGAAAUCGGAAAUGCCAGUUGUCACACUCGGAAUUUAUUAUCGGUGUACCUUUGACACUGAAUAUUAAUAAAUACCUCUUUGGAAUUAUCAUUGGCACAAAA